GACGAACGCUGGCGGCGUGCUUAACACAUGCAAGUCGAACGAAGUGGCGCACGGGUGAGUAAUACGUGUGUAACUGCCCCCCUCUCUGGGAUAACAGUUGGAAACGGCUGCGAAUACCGGAUAGUGGGGGAUGACUCGCGUCCUAUCAGCUUGUUGGUGGGGUAGUGGCCGACCAAGGCGACGCCGGGUAGCCGGCCUGGGAGGGGGACCGGGCCCAGUGGGCUGGGGUAGGGGCCGAAGGGCUACGGGCGGCAGGGGUGGAGGAUAGUGCACAAUGCGGGAAGCGCUGGUGCAGCGCCGCCGCGUGGGAGAGGUCGGUUUACGGGGUGGAAAGCGCUUUUAGCCAUGAGGCGGUAGUGGCAGAAGAAGCACCGGCUAACUACGUGCCAGCAGCCGCGGUAAUUC
rnacentral:rRNA from 1 species